AAAACAUGGUGAGAACAUUCUCUUAUAUAUCCUUUAUAACGAUCCCCAGCUUUAUGAAAAAGUUCACCUUUUUUUGUUGGAACCUAUAAAUCUUGUCUUU
rnacentral:snoRNA from 1 species